rnacentral:rRNA from 1 species
UACGGAGGGUGCAAGCGUUAUCCGGAUUCACUGGGUUUAAAGGGUGCGUAGGUGGGUCUGUAAGUCAGUGGUGAAAUCUCCGGGCUUAACUCGGAAACUGCCGUUGAGUACUAUAGAUCUUGAAUAUCGCGUAGGUAAGCGGAAUAUGUCAUGUAGCGGUGAAAUGCUUAGAUAUGACAUAGAACACCAAUUGCGAAGGCAGCUUACUUCACGAUCAUUGACACUGAGGCACGAAAGCGUGGGGAGCAAACAGG